rnacentral:rRNA from 1 species
GAUGUAACGCUGGGCGGGCGUGCUUAACACAUGCAAGUCGAACGAAGCGCGUUAAACGGAGUUUCUUACGGGAAUGAAGUUUUUGCGACUGAGUGGCGGACGGGUGAGUAACGCGUGGGUAACCUGCCUCAUACAGGGGGAUGACAGUUAGAAAUGACUGCUAAUACCGCAUAAGCGCACAGCAUCGCAUGAUGCAGUGCGAAAAACUCCGGUGGUAUGAGAUGGACCCGCGUCUGAUUAGCUAGUUGGUGAGGUAACGGCUCACCAAGGCGACGAUCAGUAGCCGACCUGAGAGGGUGAUCGGCCACAUUGGGGACUGAGACACGGCCCAA